rnacentral:lncRNA from 1 species
AAGUGCGAUCUAAGUACCAAUUAACUUAGCCUAAUGCUAGCAAAAUAAUGAUAAAUAAUAGGUGUUAACAUUUACAUGAUUAAAUAUUUUAUCCUUAGCACUUAUUAUAAUUUUUAUCAUUAUAUAAAUUCAUCUCUUCCUAGCUGCAGAACAGAGCCCAGAUUCAGCCGUUCGCAAGCACCUCAGCAUCCUUGCCGCGUCCGUGAGCCGCAUCAACCCUCUCAAGACCCGUCCGCGUCUUACGAUCCGUGAUCGAAUCAUGCCGCGAUCAGCCUUUCUCCCAGCUCCAACGAUGAAGCCCAGCCAUUCAGCAUCCCAUGAAACAUCUCCCAGCCAUGUUUGCCUCUUCCCUUGUUUCUUCCCAAAAUAGAGCAUACGAAUCUCAGCGUCCGCGUGCAGCCAUCAUCUGCGAGCAUCUCCGCAUGCCAUCCAGAUCCUCACGAGUCCACG